CGCGGAGGGCACGGGCUGCUCGCUGGCUGCCCCGGGGGAGGAGUGGGAGGAGUGGCGAGGGCUAUCAGCUCUGGCGGGCGAACCUUUCCCAGGAGGCGCUGCUUGCUCCAACGGGGUAAAGCCGGACGAGGCGGGAGAGCGGGGUUGGUGACGCGCGCCGGCCGCGGAGAAUGAGGCUGGCCCUCUGCGCCCUGCCGUGCGCUGGAGCCCUGGCAACCCUGGAGUAUGUGGGCAUUGUUGUCCCAUGUUAUGGAGCUGGAGUAUGAAGCUCAGGGACUGUGUGACUGGCCCAGGGCCACACAGCCAGGAGGCGGCUGCGCCUGGGUUUGAGAAGAGGCGGAGUGACUGGAAACCCCGGGCCCUUCCCGACACCACACGGCACCUGGGCACACGCCGCAUGGCCAUCUCUGCAUGAAGGUCCACAGCCGGGGCCCAUUCCUGGUAUUUCUGGGGCCGAGUGGAGACCUCACGAGGGAAGGAGAUUCGUAGAUGCUGCUAAUGAAGAUGAGGAGGAAAAUCAAACCCACCGUUCAGCUUUUAGCAAGCUGGAGUUUGAUAGCAGGGGAGCUGAUCAGUCUUUACAGCAGGAGACCACCACUAGGGGCAAGUUCCUCCAUUCUUUGUCUCCAGAUAAGCAGAGAGGGUCUGUCUCUAGAACCUAAUCCCGGAAAAUGGAUAAAGCAGUGGUUCUCAGGCGUGAUCUCUGGACCAACAGCAUCGGCAUCUCCUGGGAGUUUGUUGGGAAUGAAAAUUCUGGGGCUCCAUCCUAGACCUUCUGAGUCACAAGCUCUGAAGCUGAGGCUAGCAAUCUGUGUUUUGACAAAUUUAAUGCACAUUAUGGUUUGAAAACUGCUGUGAUAGAGAAUCCUGAGGUGAAAUCCAAGUACAUACUUCGGUUUAGAGUUUCUUCUGAAACAGGAGAAGAGCUGGGGAAGGUGAGGGGUUUGGAGCAUCACAGCCCAAGAAGCUGUGGUCUCUGUCCCCUGCCGAGCACUGGGUCAUGGGAGCUUGCACGGUCCACCCUGCGCAAAGGCCACUGUGGUGCAAAGUUGAGGCAGCACUUCCCUGCUCACCUGCAGCAGCUCCCCUUCCUGGGCGGCAGGACCCCAGCCUGGGGAUAUGCCGUACCUCACCCCUCUCUGCUGUCAUGGCUAAGAAGUCUUCUCUAAACUGUAUCUUCAUCCCUUAUCCUAAAGUCCAGCAAACAGUCUUCUAUCUGCCAUGUAUUCUUUUCUGAUCAUUUAUAAUCAGAAACAACCCUAACUGCUUCAAGAGUAGUUGACAUUUUUGGAAACUGCAAUGAUACACAAAUGUAGAUCAACAAGUAUGCUUAGAGGACGGUUUAGACACCAGCAGCGUGGCUGACUGUGAUGGAGAAGGCACCAUCCGAGUAGAGAGGGGGAGAGUUAACCUCAGAGUCACACACACACAUAUACACAUGCCUGGAAAGAUGCAUGACAAUAAUGAAUACCAUAGGCAUAGAAAUAGUGGCAUCGAAGCACAGCACUAUGACAGCAUUUGGCUACCAGACUGGUGUCAUAGACUGCAGCCUGGUAGGCAAUGGCCUGCCAUGGCCUCAGGAGAACCUGCUUCGCUGGGAGGGGCCUCCAGUCCUGCUUCUGCACUAGCAGCACUGCUGGAAAGCCACCUCUCUGUUCCAGUCAGCUUGGCAUCCUGGCUAUGCCUUGAAGAAUUCAGGCACCUGCCCCAGGGCCUUAGCACCUGCUCCUACCCCAUCUGGAGUGCUUGGCCUCCUCAGAUCAUCAUGGCUAGUUCCCUCCUUUUCCUUACAACUUCUCAGGGAAGACUUAAUUUUAAACCAGUAAACACAUAUGCAUGCACAUACCCUUCCCUAUACUUCAUAUCCCCCUUUCUUGCUUUAUGUUUUCUUUAGCACUUAUUACUCUCUAGCUUACUACAUAUUUUAUCUACUUACCUUGCUUCAUGUCUAUUUUCUUCUGUAAAAUGAACAAGGACCCCGUUGGUUGUAAGUGAGAAAAUCUCAUGUGAAGCUGCUUACACCAAGGGUCCUGUCUUAACAGGUGCUCUGGGUGCUCCCUCCUUGUAAGGGCUGAGACCUGAGCCUAGGAGGCCAACCAAGAUGCUUUAAGGGUAGGGUUGCCACAUACAAUCCAGGAUGGCCAGUUAAAGUAGAGUUCCAAAUAGACAACACCUGAUUUUUUAGUAUAAGGGAUACCCCUGCUUCUCCCAUCUGCUUGUCUUUCUCUGCACAUCUGCCUCAUUUUUCUUCUUCCCUGCAGGGUGGGUUUUGGUUUCUCAGGCUACCUGGAGGGAAACAUUUGCAACCAGCAGUCCCAAUCUUGUUACAAAGGAGCUCAUCAGUUGCAAAGGAGCAGUCAAACAAAGACCAUAGCAUAUUCAUCCCAAAGCUCAGGAAGGAGAUUGUCAGCUCAGUUUGGGUGAAAGCUUCCUGUCCACACAACCCAUGCAGUGAAGCCACACUGGAAGGCGACAGCUGCCUCCACUGUGACCACAUGGAUUGAGGCAGCUGGGGUGGGGGGAGUCAGUUCUCAAAAAAGUAACAAUGCUUGAGGGACCAAACAAGAACUGAAUACACAAAGGGAGUUUUGUUUUCCUAGAUACAAAAAUCACAUUAUAAUGAUGUAAUAAUCAAUACUGGCUGGUUUAAAUGCAAGAAUAACAAAUACAUGGAAAAGAAUUGAGUUCCAAGAGAGAUUCAUGGAGAUAUUGCCAUUUGGUCAGUAACAAAGGUGACAUUUCAAAUGACUGGGAAAAGGAUGCACUUGAGAUGUCCAAUAAAAUAUGUAGCAA